GAUCAACGAUGAUGAUUUUACGUUGUAUAUUUCAUUUCAAGAUAUAUAUGAAUUAUUACAACGUCAAGCAAUGCUUAACAUCUCAAUUAUACAAUUAUGGAUGUUAUAUUUGAAUCGUAAAAUUGAAGAACUCAAUCAUGGUGACUUGUAUGGAUUUCUUGAGCCCCAAUCAAUUCAAAAAUAUGGGAAUAAAAAAGCGGAGUCUCAAAAUUAUAUCAUUGAAAGGUUACAAAAUUCACCCAAGCAAAUUUACUUUGCUCCUUACGUUGAUUAAAAUCAUUGGCAGUUAUUGGUUCUCUGUCCGACAAAGAAUGUUGUUGUUUGGUUUUGUUCUUUCCAUCGUAAGCC